rnacentral:rRNA from 1 species
ACACAUGCAGUCGAGGGGUAGAAUUAGCUUGCUAAUUUGAGACCGGCGCACGGGUGCGUAACGCGUAUGCAACCUGCCUUGUACUGAGGGAUAGCCCAGAGAAAUUUGGAUUAAUACCUCAUAGCAUUAUGAAAUCGCAUGGUUUUAUAAUUAAAGUUCCAACGGUACAAGAUGAGCAUGCGUCCCAUUAGUUAGUUGGUAAGGUAACGGCUUACCAAGACGAUGAUGGGUAGGGGUCCUGAGAGGGGGAUCCCCCACACUGGUACUGAGACACGGACCAGACUCCUACGGGAGGCAGCAGUGAGGAAUAUUGGUCAAUGGGCGCAAGCCUGAACCAGC